UUACAGCAAUUGAUGGAUGCCUUGGCUUCAUCAGGCGAAGAAGGACGCAGCAAGCUGCGAUAAGCUUCGGGGAGCGGCACGCACGCUUUGAUCCGAAGAUUUCCGAAUGGGGAAACCCGGCACCGGUCAUUCGGUGUCGCGACGGUCCGAAUACAUACGAUCGUCCGCGCAAUACGUGGAGAAGUGAAACAUCUCAGUAUCCACAGGAAAAGAACGAGAAUCGAUUCCGUCAGUAGUGGCGAGCGAAAGCGGAACAGCCCAAACCGGAAAAACUUGUUUUUCCGGGGUUGUGGGAGCCCGUAAAAGAAGAAAGGAUGCGAAGCCGAACAGUCUGCGAAAGGCUGGCCAUAGACCGUGACAGCCGGGUCGGCGAAGUUGAGAGUCUUCUGGGAAUUCCCGAGUAACGCGAUGCACGUGAAACUUCGCGUGAAACUGUCCAGACCACUGGAUAAGGCUAAAUACUACUUGGCAACCGAUAGUGAACUAGUACCGCGAGGGAAAGGCGAAAAGAACCCCUGCUAGGGGAGUGAAAUAGAUCCUGCAACCCUCUGCCUACAAUGUGUCGGAGCCCCGAAAGGGGUGACGGCCUGCCUUUUGCAUAAUGAGUCUGCGAGUUAUUGUCAGUGGCCAGCGUCAGACCCUCUGGGUUGGACGCGAAGCGAAAGCGAGUACGAAAUGUGCGCCUAGUCGCUGGCAAUAGACCCGAAGCGGAGGUGAUCUACUCUUGAGCAGGUUGAAACCAAGGUAACACUUGGUGAAGGACCGAACUCGUGGAUGUUGAAAAAUCCUGAGAUGACUUGAGAGUAGGAGCGAAAGACUAAUCAAACCCUGUGAUAGCUGGUUCUUUCCGAAAUAUAUUUGGGUAUAGCGUCGGAUGCUGAUUUGCGGAGGUAGAGCACUAAAUAAGCUAGGGCCCCUACCGGGGUACUGAACUUAAUUAAACUCCGAAUACCGCAGAGUGAAGUCCGGCAGUCAGACUGUGGGGGAUAACCUUCAUAGUCGAGAGGAGAAUAAUCCAAACCAUCAGUUAAGGUCCCAAAAUAUGGCUCAGUGGAAAAGGAUGUGAUUUUGCUUAGACAAUGGGGAUGUUGGCUUAGAGGCAGCCAUCAUUUAAACAGUGCGUAACAGCUGACCCAUCGAGCGAAAUUGCGCCGAAAAUGAUCGGGACUUAAGCCAUAUACCGAAGCUAUGGGUUGUAGCAAUACAGCAGUAGGAAAGCGUCCCAUGUGCAGCGAAGGAGAAGGGGUAACCGACUCUGGAGCGCAUGGGAGUGAGAAUGCAGACAUAAGUAACGAUAAAGACGGUUGAAAUCCGUCUCGCCGAAAUCCCAAGGAUUCCUGGGGAAGGUUCGUCCUCCCAGGGUUAGUCGGGUGCUAAGACGAGGCCGUAAGGAAUAGUCGAUGCCAAGCAGGUUUAAUAUUCCUGCACCACUUUGCAUGUGUUUGAUCUAAGGAGUGACGGAGAAAGUUAAUUCGGCAACGUGUUGAAUCGUUGUCCAAGCUCGUAGGUUUCUCGGGGAUAAAAUACCGGGUUAAUCUGAAAAGCGACGGGACCCCAAAGCCACGGCCUAGGGGGAUUGAAUGAUACUCUGCUCCCGAGAAAAACUUCGUAGUUAAUAUGCAAGGUGCCCGUACCGUAAACCGACACAGGUGGGAUAGAUGAGUAUUCUAAGGCGCGCAGGUUAAAUCUCUCUAAGGAACUCGGCAAAUUAACCCCGUAUCUUCGGUAGAAGGGGUGCCCCGCAAGGGGCCGCAGUUAAUUGCGUCAACCGACUGUUUAGCAAAAACACAGCACUCUGCUAAGUCGCAAGACGACGUAUAGGGUGUGACACGUGACCAAUGCGGAAAGGUGAAAGUCUUGGGUGCAAGCUCAGGAUCUAAGCCCCCGUGAAUGUCGGCCGUAACUAUAACGGUCCUAAGGUAGCGAAAUUCCUUGUCGGGUAAGUUCCGACCCGCACGAAUCGUGUAACGAGUUGACGACUGUCUCGGAGAGAGGCCUGGUGAAAUUGUAGUGGCGGUGAAGAUGCCGCCUACCCGCAGCAGGACGGAAAGACCCUAUGCACCUUUACUGUAAGCUGUUAUUGUCGCUUGAGUUUCAAUACGUAGAAUAGGUGGGAGACUGCGAAGUCCGGUUCCAGGAUCGGGCUGAGUCACAAUGUGAAAUACCACUUUUUGUUACUUAGGCGUCUAACCUCGCACCAUUAUCUGGUCGUGGGACAGUGAUAGCAGGUCAGUUUUUCUGGGGCGGAAUCCUCCCAAAAAGUAACGGAGGAUUACGAAGGUUCCCUCGGCCCGGUCGGUAAUCGGGCUAUAGAGCGCAUGAGUAUAAGGGAGCUUUACUGUGAGACCAACAAGUCGAGCAGUUGCGAAAGCAGGUUCAAGUGAUCCGGUGGUUGAAUGUGGAAUCGCCAUCGCUCAUAGGACAAAAGGUACGCUAGGGAUAACAGGCUGAUC
rnacentral:rRNA from 1 species